GAUGAACGCUGGCGGCGUGCCUAAUACAUGCAAGUCGAGCGAACGGACGAGAAGCUUGCUUUUCUGAUGUUAGCGGCGGACGGGUGAGUAACACGUGGAUAACCUACCUAUAAGACUGGGAUAACUUCGGGAAACCGGAGCUAAUACCGGAUAAUAUUUUGAACCGCAUGGUUCAAAAGUGAAAGACGGUCUUGCUGUCACUUAUUGAUGGAUCCGCGCUGCAUUAGCUAGUUGGUAAGGUAACGGCUUACCAAGGCAACGAUGCAUAGCCGACCUGAGAGGGUGAUCGGCCACACUGGAACUGAGACACGGUCCAGACUCCUACGGGAGGCAGCAGUAGGGAAUCUUCCGCAAUGGGCGAAAGCCUGACGGAGCAACGCCGCGUGAGUGCUGAAGGUCUUCGGAUCGUAAAACUCUGUUAUUAGGGAAGAACAUAUGUGUAAGUAACUGUGCACAUCUUGACGGUACCUAAUCAGAAAGCCACGGCUAACUACGUG
rnacentral:rRNA from 1 species